GACGAACGCUGGCGGCGUGCUUAACACAUGCAAGUCGAACGAGAAUCUGAUGAAGGAGUUUUCGGACAACGGAUUCAGAGGACAGUGGCGGACGGGUGAGUAACGCGUGAGGAACCUGCCUUUCAGAGGGGGACAACAGUUGGAACGACUGCUAAUACCGCAUAACACAUCGGAGUCGCAUGGCUCUGAUGUCAAAGAUUUAUCGCUGAAAGAUGGCCUCGCGUCUGAUUAGCUAGUUGGUGAGGUAACGGCCCACCAAGGCGACGAUCAGUAGCCGGACUGAGAGGUUGACCGGCCACAUUGGGACUGAGAUACGGCCCAGACUCCUACGGGAGGCAGCAGUGGGGAAUAUUGGGCAAUGGGCGCAAGCCUGACCCAGCAACGCCGCGUGAAGGAGAAGGCUUUCGGGUUGUAAACUCUUUUAGCAGGGAUNAAGGACGUGACGGUACCUGCAGAAAAAGCAACGGCUAACUACGUG
rnacentral:rRNA from 1 species